AGGUGUCUCUUCAAGGAUGGGCAAGACUUGCAAAGCUGAGCUAGCAAGACAGGAUGAGAUGGAGAUUGCAUUGAGGAUUGGAGGUAUUAAUGGCUCCCUUGGAAGAAUCCUGGAAGUUCAUGGUAACAUGGAAGUGGCUGAAAAAAAUAAGCUCAGACAUUCUGUGUGAUGCAUACACCCUGUGUGUCUAGUAAGAGACAGCAUCGAAGAAAAGAAAUUUGUCUUCCUUGAUACAAUGAGAAUAGCAUCUGGUUUCUUGAAAGGUCUAAAUGGGAGCACCUACUGGACCACAUUGUGAUGCCCUCCCACUCUGCCUGCCUACAUUUUCUUCUCAUAGAAAAUACAGUUUAUGGAGGAAAACGGAUGAGAAAGCAAUGUGUACACUUUCCUUUCCUUGCAAGCUGGAUGCCAACAAGUGCCCCUGAGUCUUGAUACGCCCCAGGUCAAGACAAGACAUGCCAGGAGAUCCUCAAGUACCGUGGAAUAAUGGAAGAGUGUCAAUAGCAGAUUGGAACAUGAGCUGUCAACAAGCUGGAUGAAUGGUGUGAUUGUCACAUCCACUGAACGUUCCAGAGCUUUCCUGACAAGGUUUUAAGUUUCUGCCAGUGUAGGCUGAUUUUAUUUUGAUUUUUUUGGGGACAUCAGAAAAUUUUUAGACUCUAAGCUCUAUCAACAACUGGAAGGAUCUGUGAGGACUAAUGUAACUAUUUGUUCCAAGCAACCUACAUUGCUCUUUUUUUCUCCUUUUGGCAAGUAUCCAUGAACACAUUUAAGUUUUAGAAAGCCUUGAAGUAAUAAUUACAGCUGGAUUUGACCAAUGGAUCGCAUGGACUUCUCACCAUCUGUGAGUGAUGAGGUCUUUUCAGUACAGACAGCCAAAUCGCUGUAACAUUAACAGUUUGAUCCUCCAAAGAAUCUGGAUACCGAGUUAAAAAUCAUGAGACUGGGA